rnacentral:misc_RNA from 1 species
GGAACUGAACUGGGUUAUCAUAUUUAAGUCAGAAAAUGUCAUGAUUGAUUAUUUUUGUUUUAUUUGUUCUCACAUUAUUAGAAAUGGGGAUAUUACGUUUUGUAGAUGAAUUGGAAUUCUUUUGUGUCGCAAUGUCUAGAAACUUUAAAUAAAUUGUUGGUUCAAGGAUUGGGAAUGUUGCACGAGGUGAGCUAGUUUUAUUCAGCAUGAUAUAUGG